AUACAGAGGUCUCAAGCGUUGUUCGGAUUCAUUGGGCGUAAAGGGUGCGUAGGCGGCGAGGCAAGUCUGGUGUGAAAUCCCGGGGCUCAACCCCGGAACUGCACUGGAUACUGCCUUGCUAGAGUACUGGAGAGGGAACUGGAAUUUACGGUGUAGCAGUGAAAUGCGUAGAUAUCGUAAGGAAGACCAGUGGCGAAGGCGAGUUCCUGGACAGUUACUGACGCUGAGGCACGAAGGCCAGGGGAGCAAACGG
rnacentral:rRNA from 1 species